rnacentral:ncRNA from 1 species
AACGGAUAACCGCUGAAGGCAUCUAAGCGGGAAGCCGCCUUCAAGAUGAGAUACCUCAUUGCAUAAGCAAGUAAGGCGUCCUGUAGACGACAGGGUACAUAGGCCGGAGGUGGAAGCACGGCAACGUGUGGAGCUGACCGGUACUAAUACGCCGAGGCCUUAACCUC